ensembl:snRNA U1 U1 spliceosomal RNA
AUACUUACCUGGCAGGGGACAUAUCAUGAUCACGAAGGUGGUUUUCCCAGAGUGAGGCUUAUCCAUUGGACUCCAGAUGUGCAGACCCCUGUGAUUUCCCCAAAUGUGGGAAACUUGAUUGCAUAAUUUAUGGUAGUAGGGGACUGCAUUCACGCUCUCCCCUU